AGCUGUUAGCGCUAGGUAUAUGCAGAGUUCUGGCCUGACGGGGGUUAGCUGUUAGCGCUAGGUAUAUGCAGAGUUCUGGCCUGACGGGGGUUAGCUGUUAGCGCUAGGUAUAUGCAGAGUUCUGGCCUGACGGGGGUUAGCUGUUAGCGCUAGGUAUAUGCAGAGUUCUGGCCUGACGGGGGUUAGCUGUUAGCGCUAGGUAUAUGCAGAGUUCUGGCCUGACGGGGGUUAGCUGUUAGCGCUAGGUAUAUGCAGAGUUCUGGCCUGACGGGGGUUAGCUGUUAGCGCUAGGUAUAUGCAGAGUUCUGGCCUGACGGGGGUUAGCUGUUAGCGCUAGGUAUAUGCAGAGUUCUGGCCUGACGGGGGUUAGCUGUUAGCGCUAGGUAUAUGCAGAGUUCUGGCCUGACGGGGGUUAGCUGUUAGCGCUAGGUAUAUGCAGAGUUCUGGCCUGACGGGGGUUAGCUGUUAGCGCUAGGUAUAUGCAGAGUUCUGGCCUGACGGGGGUUAGCUGUUAGCGCUAGGUAUAUGCAGAGUUCUGGCCUGACGGGGGUUAGCUGUUAGCGCUAGGUAUAUGCAGAGUUCUGGCCUGACGGGGGUUAGCUGUUAGCGCUAGGUAUAUGCAGAGUUCUGGCCUGACGGGGGUUAGCUGUUAGCGCUAGGUAUAUGCAGAGUUCUGGCCUGACGGGGGUUAGCUGUUAGCGCUAGGUAUAUGCAGAGUUCUGGCCUGACGGGGGUUAGCUGUUAGC